AACACAUGCAAGUCGAACGGUAGCACAGAGAGCUUGCUCUCGGGUGACGAGUGGCGGACGGGUGAGUAAUGUCUGGGAAACUGCCUGAUGGAGGGGGAUAACUACUGGAAACGGUAGCUAAUACCGCAUAACGUCGCAAGACCAAAGAGGGGGACCUUCGGGCCUCUUGCCAUCAGAUGUGCCCAGAUGGGAUUAGCUAGUAGGUGGGGUAACGGCUCACCUAGGCGACGAUCCCUAGCUGGUCUGAGAGGAUGACCAGCCACACUGGAACUGAGACACGGUCCAGACUCCUACGGGAGGCAGCAGUGGGGAAUAUUGCACAAUGGGCGCAAGCCUGAUGCAGCCAUGCCGCGUGUAUGAAGAAGGCCUUCGGGUUGUAAAGUACUUUCAGCGGGGAGGAAGGUGUUGCGGUUAAUAACCGCAGCAAUUGACGUUACCCGCAGAAGAAGCACCGGCUAACUCCGUGCCAGCAGCCGCGGUAAUACGGAGGGUGCAAGCGUUAAUCGGAAUUACUGGGCGUAAAGCGCACGCAGGCGGUCUGUCAAGUCGGAUGUGAAAUCCCCGGGCUCAACCUGGGAACUGCAUUCGAAACUGGCAGGCUAGAGUCUUGUAGAGGGGGGUAGAAUUCCAGGUGUAGCGGUGAAAUGCGUAGAGAUCUGGAGGAAUACCGGUGGCGAAGGCGGCC
rnacentral:rRNA from 1 species